rnacentral:rRNA from 1 species
GCUGAACGCUGGCGGCGUGGCUAAGACAUGCAAGUCGCACGGUGUAGCAAUACACAGUGGCGAACGGGUGAGUAAUGAAUCGCUAAUGUACCCCGGACUCUGGGAUAGCUAGCCGAAAGGUUAGGUAAUACCAGAUGAUAUAACCUUGCCGCAUGGCAGGGUUCUCAAAGGUCCGCCGGUCUGGGAGCAGGCGAUUUCGUAUCAGCUAGUUGGCGAGGUAACGGCUCACCAAGGCGACGACGCGUAGCCGGACUAAGAGGUCGGACGGCCACAUCGGGACUGAGACACUGCCCGGACUCCUACGGGGGGCUGCAGUAACGAAUCUUCCGCAAUGUACGCAAGUAUGACGGAGCGACGCCGCGUGUGGGACGAAGUUCUUCGGAAUGUAAACCACUGUCAGGGGUUAGAAAGUUCUGAUCAACCCCAGAGGAAGGCACGGCUGACUCUGUGCCAGCAGCCGCGGUAAGACAGAGGUGCCAAGCGUUAGGCGG